GGAGGAAUAUUGGACAAUGGAGGCAACUCUGAUCCAGCCAUGCCGCGUGAAGGACUAAGGCCCUAUGGGCUGUAAACUUCUUUAGACGCAGAGCAAUAAGGGCCACGCGUGGUCCGAUGAGAGUAUGCGUAGAAUAAGCAUCGGCUAACUCCGUGCCAGCAGCCGCGGUAAUACGGGGGAUGCGAGCGUUAUCCGGAUUCAUUGGGUUUAAAGGGUGCGUAGGCGGCUUUGCAAGUCAGCGGUGAAAGGCCCCGGCUCAACCCGGAAAGUGCCGUUGAUACUGGCGGCCUUGAGUUCACACAAGGAAGGUGGAAUUCGUCGUGUAGCGGUGAAAUGCUUAGAUAUGACGAAGAACUCCGAUUGCGAAGGCAGCC
rnacentral:rRNA from 1 species